GAUGAACGCUAGCGGGAGGCUUAACACAUGCAAGUCGAGGGGCAGCAUAGGGUAGCAAUACUCUGAUGGCGACCGGCAAACGGGUGAGUAACGCGUAUGCAACCUACCUGUACAGGGGGAUAACCGGAGAAAUUCGGACUAAUAUCCCGUAAUAAUAUCCGGAGGCAUCUUUGGAUAUUUAAAGUUCCGACGGUACGGGAUGGGCAUGCGUAACAUUAACUGGUUGGUAAGGUAACGGCUUACCAAGGCUAUGAUGUUUAGGGGUCCUGAGAGGGUGGUCCCCCACACUGGUACUGAGACACGGACCAGACUCCUACGGGAGGCAGCAGUGAGGAAUAUUGGUCAAUGGGCGCAAGCCUGAACCAGCCAUCCCGCGUGCAGGAAGACGGCCCUAUGGGUUGUAAACUGCUUUUCCAGGGAGAGAAACUUACGCACGUGUUGCGUGACUGACGGUACCCUGGGAAUAAGCAUCGGCUAACUCCGUG
rnacentral:rRNA from 1 species